rnacentral:tRNA from 2 species
GGGCGCAUAGCUCAGAUGGUAGAGCAGCUGACUCUUAAUCAGCGGGUCCAAGGUUCGAGUCCUUGUGCGCCCACCA